rnacentral:tRNA from 1 species
ACGCCAAUAGCUCAAUUGGUAGAGCAGCUGAUUCCAAAUCAGCAGGUUGGGGGUUCGAGUCCCUCUUGGCGUG